GACGAACGCUGGCGGCGUGCCUAAUACAUGCAAGUCGAACGCAGUUGCGCACGGGUGAGUAACGCGUAGGUAACUGCCUCAUAGCAGGGGGUAACUAUUUGGAACGGUAGCUAAUACCGCCUACUGGGAGCUAGACCGGCGUUGUAUUAGGUUGUUGGUGAGGUAAAGGCUCACCAAGGCGACGAUACAUAGCCGACCUGGGAGGGUGAUCGGCCCAACUGGGACUGAGAACAGGCCCCGAAUCCCACCGGAGGGAGCAGGAGGGAAUCUUCGGAAAUUGACGGAAGGCUGACCGAGGAACGCCGGGGGAGUGGAGAAGGGUCUCGGAGCGUAAAGCUACGUUGUGAGAGAAGCGGUACCUAAACAGAAAGGACCGGCUAACUACGUGCCAGCAGCCGCGGUAAUUC
rnacentral:rRNA from 1 species